rnacentral:rRNA from 1 species
CCUACGGGGAGCAGCAGUGAGGAAUAUUGGUCAAUGGGCGGGAGCCUGAACCAGCCAAGCCGCGUGAGGGAAGAAGGUACAGCGUAUCGUAAACCUCUUUUGUCAGGGAACAAAGGCGGGGACUAGUCCCCGGCUGCGGGUACCUGAAGAAAAAGCAUCGGCUAACUCCGUGCCAGCAGCUGCGGUAAUACGGAGGAUGCGAGCGUUAUCCGGAUUUAUUGGGUUUAAAGGGUGCGCAGGCGGCCUGUUAAGUCUGCGGUAAAAUCCCGGGGCUCAACCCCGGCGAGCCGUUGAAACUGGCGGGCUGGAGUUGGAGAGAAGUACGCGGAAUGCGCGGUGUAGCGGUGAAAUGCUUAGAUAUCGCGCAGAACCCCGAUUGCGAAGGCAGCGUACCGGCUCCACACUGACGCUGAGGCACGAAAGCGUGGGUAUCGAACAGGAUUAGAUACCCUAGUAGUC